UUACGAAAAGAAUUAUCUAGAUGUUCGAGUUAUUAAAAUAAGAGUUAAUUUUAUUAAAUAUAUCGAAUAACAAAUAUAUUCUUACAAAGUUUAAUUUUUUCAUAUUAAUUCUUAUAAAAGUCUAAUAAAAUUCAAAUUUAUCUGUCUAGUUUGUUACCGUUAAAGUACUAUUUAUUUUUUAACAAAAAAAUAAAUAAAAUAAUAUUUUUAUCAUCAUAAAUAUGCCUCUCUGUACCAAAAAAAAAAAAAAUAGAUAAAAAAGUUAAUUUACCUUAUUCAGUAAACAGGAUUAAGUAUUUUAUAGUUAACUAUAUAUAUAUAUAUAUUUUAACGGAUCCUAACAGUAGGAAUACGUUUGAAAACGUUAGGAUUUUUAAAAAAAUAAAUAUAAAAUGUUAAACUUUGUGGGAAUAUAUCUGCUAUUUGAUAUAUUUACAGGGAGCUGUAUAUAAUUAACUCUUAAAAGAAAAUAAAGACAAAAUUAGGUUUAUGUUCAGAAGCAAAUUUUAUUUGGAAGUUGCUAGUGGGUUUAAUGUUGGUGGG
rnacentral:lncRNA from 1 species